GAGUUUGAUCAUGGCUCAGAUUGAACGCUGGCGGCAUGCCUUACACAUGCAAGUCGAACGGCAGCACGGGAGCUUGCUCCUGGUGGCGAGUGGCGAACGGGUGAGUAAUGCAUCGGAACGUAGUCCUGGAGUGGGGGAUAACGUAGCGAAAGUUACGCUAAUACCGCAUAUUCUGUGAGCAGGAAGCGGGGACCUUCGGGCCUCGCGCUCUUGGAGCGGCCGAUGUCGGAUUAGCUAGUUGGUGAGGUAAAGGCUCACCAAGGCGACGAUCCGUAGCAGGUCUGAGAGGAUGAUCUGCCACACUGGAACUGAGACACGGUCCAGACUCCUAC
rnacentral:rRNA from 1 species